GAUAGCGUAAGUAGCGCGAGCGAAGAUGGAAGAACCCUGUUAGGGAGGAUACUGAACCUGAAACCAUACGCUUACAAGCGGUCGGAGCACAUUUCAUGUGUGACGGCGUGCCUUUUGCAUAAUGAUCCGGCGAGUUACCGUCACUGGCUCGGUUAAGGCCUUCAGGGCCGAAGCCACAGGGAAACCGAGUCUGAAUAGGGCGAAAUAUGUCAGCGGCGGUAGACGCGAAACCUUGUGAACUACCCAUGGGCAGGUUGAAGCGCGGGUAAGACCGCGUGGAGGACCGAACUCACCAAUAUUGAAAAAUUGGGGGAUGACCUGUGGGGAGGAGUAAAAGUCUCAUCAAACUGGGAGAUAGCUCGUUCUCUUCGAAAUGGCUUUAGGGCCAGCCUCGUGCCAUUACUACAGGGGGGUAGAGAUACUGAAUUAGUUUGGGGGCCUACCCGGCUACCCGGCUUAACCAAACUCCGAAUACCCUGUCAGUGUACCACGGGAGUCAGUCGGCGAGGGAUAAGCUUCGUCGUCAAAAGGGAAACAACCCAGACCACCUGUUA
rnacentral:rRNA from 1 species